CCUACGGGUGGCAGCAGUCGAGAAUCAUUCACAAUGGGGGAAACCCUGAUGGUGCGACGCCGCGUGAAUGAUGAAGGUCUUCGGAUUGUAAAGUUCUUUUCUAAGGGAAGAAGAAAGUGACGGUACCUUAGGAAUAAGCCUCGGCUAACUACGUGCCAGCAGCCGCGGUAAUACGUAGGAGGCGAGCGUUAUCCGGAAUGACUGGGCGUAAAGGGUGUGUAGGUGGUUUGGCAAGUUAGUAGCGUAACUCCAAGGCUCAACCUUGGAACUACUACUAAAACUGUUGGACUUGAGUGCAGGAGGGGCAACCGGAAUUCCUAGUGUAGCGGUGGAAUGCGUAGAUAUUAGGAGGAACACCAGUGGCGAAGGCGGGUUGCUAGACUGUAACUGACACUGAGGCACGAAAGCGUGGGGAGCAAACAGGAUUAGAUACCCGGGUAGUC
rnacentral:rRNA from 1 species